rnacentral:rRNA from 1 species
GGGAAUCUACCCAGUUCUACGGAACAACAGUUGGAAACGACUGCUAAUACCGUAUACGCCCUACGGGGGAAAGAUUUAUCGGAAUUGGAUGAGCCCGCGUAAGAUUAGCUAGUUGGUGGGGUAAUGGCCUACCAAGGCGACGAUCUUUAGCUGGUCUGAGAGGAUGAUCAGCCACACUGGGACUGAGACACGGCCCAGACUCCUACGGGAGGCAGCAGUGGGGAAUAUUGGACAAUGGGCGCAAGCCUGAUCCAGCCAUGCCGCGUGAGUGAUGAAGGCCUUAGGGUUGUAAAGCUCUUUCAGUGGGGAAGAUAAUGACGGUACCCACAGAAGAAGCCCCGGCUAACUUCGUGCCAGCAGCCGCGGUAAUACGAAGGGGGCUAGCGUUGUUCGGAUUUACUGGGCGUAAAGCGCACGUAGGCGGAUAUUUAAGUCAGGGGUGAAAUCCCAGAGCUCAACUCUGGAACUGCCUUUGAUACUGGGUAUCUUGAGUAUGGAAGAGGUAAGUGGAAUUGCGAGU